rnacentral:lncRNA from 1 species
GCAAAAUUACUCUGAUCAAGUUUGUUACAAAAAUGUUCAAGUCAAACAUGUUUGCAUCACAUGAACCUACUCAAUCGUAGUGUGUAUGAGUGUUCUGCUACCAAAUGCCAGAAGGCACAUAAUUGUUUAUAAAUCGUGGUACAUCCGACCAGGAGUGGUAAUUGCAAGGAAAAAAAUUAAAAUAUGAACAGACACCUUCCUUGAUACAGAAUUCUCGCAUAACUCCAUACAGCUCACUGUUUGACGAACUAAAUGCGAAAAAAAAAACAGAUUGAAGAAGGGAUGCAAGCAAGUGAGUGCCAUCCAUCAUUUUAGCAGCAAAUCUCUGAGCUGAAAAGGUACGGAAAUGGUGGAAUUUCAUCUUUUUCAGCCAACCCUUCCUUCCUAGUAACAUAAUUCUCCCAUCGGAACCCAGAGGGGCCAAUUUAAAGGCAUAGGUGCUAGGAGGGUCCCUAACUUUUGACCUUGCAGCAUAAAAAGUUGCUUUGUAAGAGAUCAGUCCAAGAAAAGGGGUUAGGAUUGAAUUUUGUAUACAUAUAACUAAAAGCUAAUAAUGUUCAGUUCAAUACUUGCAGGCUGCAGCAGCUUCAGAGUACAAUAUAAAAGGUUCAAUACUUGAGAAAUUUUUAAGAGUAAGAGAAAUCCACUACAUCUGACAUUAUUCUACAUUCCCCUCCAAAGCCAUUUUGCAUACUGUACCAAAUGGCUUAUGCUAAUCAUUAAAUCUGAGGCCUCCGUAGUGUAUUAAUGGCCAUACCAAAACUUGCAUCAUCAUAUUCAUUGUCAUUAGUCUUUUAAUUCCUUCAGCUUUAAAUGUCAAAAAUGGGUUGGCCAAGGUCGGCGGCCAGCCGUGUAGGUCUUUUGCCCUUUCUUUCUUACUUAAUAAAAGGAACAAGUUUUCUCAUCUAAAUAUGCAGAUAAUCUUUUAUAGAACAAAAGUGUUAACCUAUGCAGUCAAAGCAUUUACUUGCAUGAGAGAAAUAUCACUAUGCCUUUUUGACAACUAUUUACACAGAUAAGCAAUAAGAGAGAGAGAGAGAGAGAGCUUCCCUAUCAUGACUUGAAUUCAAUCUACUAACAGUCGGAGUCUAAUGCUAGUUGUUUUCUACAUGAUCAGCGUCAAACAACCUUGUUACGUUAAGAGUAUAAGUCAAUAUGUCAUGUAACAGUAACACAGUUUUAACACUAUUACUUAAGUUAGAUGUGUUAUGUUUAUCAAACUUAAGUAAGAAUAUGAACAACUACUUAACAUUAGCCUUGCGAGAUGAACUUGUAAAGAGGAAAGUGGGAGAGAUCAGCUCAACAUAUUUGUUACCAUGUUACCUUGGUUUAUAAAAGAUGCGUUUUACAAGAUUUUGCCAAUUGGAGCUCUAAAUGAUAAACCAGAGCUUGCCGACACUUGACUUCAAUAAGUUAGAAAUUAAACCCUUUAAAUACCAGAGACACAGAACAAAAGAAAGAAAAAGGGGCUACGUGGUGCCGGCGUGCAUUCCAUUGCGGCCAAUGUAUCUGUUUUGGAUGACAAAUGUCCUCCCAUUCACUUCUAUGAACAAAAUAAGACUUGCACUUUAAGGGAAAUAAUAUUAGUAUAAGAGGUCCACCUUGGCAAAAGUAGCAGCCCCUCUUAACACUGUUAAAAGAAAGGGAAGGCGGGACAUGUGAUCAUAAUCACUAUAUUAUGUUUAUUUCUGAAGGGUGUACUUUUUCAAAUUUGCAUUUAGGUGUUUUCCUUUCAGGUGAAUUCUUUACAAUCUAUAUUUGGUUUGGUUUGGUUUGGUGAGAGGAAUGUGCUAAACUAAGUGUUGCAAUUAGAGCUGAGAUGGGGAACAGUAACACCUCUGGGUUUCAAGGUAUGUAAUUAUGGCAGGGGAUUCCUUUAUUUUUUCCUAUUUUUCAUACUUGUUUCCUCUCUGGUUGGCUCAUGAAUGGUGGCUGAAGAUGCAGCAGAAGAAAAUUCUAACACAAAGAUUGAAGGAACUCAACCAAAAUCUGUGCAAGAACAUGAUGAGCAAGAAGGUACAAGAGGACACUUUGUUGAUCAAAGUGAAGGAAGUGAUGAAAAUGGAGGAAGAAUGUUAGGUUCUGAGGAUCCAAAGGAAGAGGAGGGAGCAAAAGCCCGGAAUCGAGAUGGAAAAGGUUCGGUUUGCUAAUAUACCUAAUGACAACAACUUUAUUUUGGUAUAAAGUUGUGUUGAUUAGUUUAUCCUGGCAAUCAAUAUUUUUUCAGUUGUUUCAGAGCAAGAGAAUGAUAGGCUGGAGAGCCAAGUUCAUGAUCUUAUGUCUGUCGAAUCUGAGGAACCAAAGCCCGAAUAUGAAGAAGAAAGAAGUAAAGACAGUAAUCCUCAACUAAAUAUUGUGAGGCAACAAACAGAAGAAAACAAGUCUGAUUCUAUGGAACAACCAGAAUCUAGUAAGCCAGGUUAACCAACUAAACUUCACAAUCCAUGAACAAUCAUUUCUUCUUAAACGAAUCAAUACGAUCAUUAGUUUUGAGCAGGAAGAAUGAAGCUUACCUAUUUAUCUGCAGCAGAGGAGGUGGAGGAGACGUUGAGCUCAGGUUCAACUGUUAGAUCCCAUGCACAUGAUGAGCAAGAACAUCAAGGUUCUGAUGAAGUAGAAUCAAAC